UACGUAGGAGGCAAGCGUUGUCCGGAAUUAUUGGGCGUAAAGAGCUCGUAGGCGGUUUGUCGCGUCUGCUGUGAAAACUCGGGGCUUAACUCCGGGCCUGCAGUGGGUACGGGCAGACUAGAGUGCGGUAGGGGAGACUGGAAUUCCUGGUGUAGCGGUGAAAUGCGCAGAUAUCAGGAGGAACACCCGUGGCGAAGGCGGCCUUCUGGGUCCGCCCUGACGCUGAGGCGCGAAAGCGUGGGGAGCGAACGGG
rnacentral:rRNA from 1 species